GACAUACGUUGUGAUUUAAAAUAGCUUAUCCGUUUGUUAUUACCCGAAAAACAUAUAUUAAAGUUUAUAUUUUUUGAUAGCUUAAACCGUCUAGCCGUGCUUAAACAUCUAAAGUUACGACCAUUAAUAGAAAAAUUCUCCUUACGGGUCUAAGUUUUGAAUAACCGCGACUUAAAAAUGACCGUUUUAUCCAUGUUUUAACACAGUGUAACUUUUUUAAAUAUUAUUGUAACAGUUAAGUUAUGAUUAAGUACUAUAGUUUUAACAAUUACUGGGAUUGCAUUAAAAUCAAUUUUGAAAAAAUAAGUGCUGCUUUCUUUCAUUUCCACAAUCCAAUUAUUAAAUACUAACUCUUUGCACUGUAACUUGGCAAUAAUUUCAUUUAAACUUUCAAUUUCAUCUAAGAUUUCAUCACAUUUUUCAUCCCGCGUUUCAUGGUGAACGUCAUUCAGGGAACAGAAUCUCUUGGCUGGAUGUUUUCGUUUGAAAGGAACAUUUUCGGAAAGAUAAGCAGGAAGGUCAGGGAAGAGUGAUGGAUAAGCAUCACUUUUAAGGGUUAGUCUCUGUCUUGGUAAGGUUAGUCGGGAGCCUAUAAUAUGUAAAAAUUAGUGAAGGGUAAUUAUUAGCAAAAGUACAGAAAGUAAUAAUAACCAUCAUCUCUAGUCACUUCGUGAUAUUUUAUUAUAAAAUCAUCCCGAAAAUGUUUCACACAAACACGACUGUUCUUGGUAACAGUCCAAUUAGUUCGAGGUAUCUUCCUUGACCAUAAUGAUCGCAGGGAUUCUUGUUUGGGAAAGGAAAACAUAGGUACAUUAGGACCAUUCAUGUUAGACACACAAUUGGGAACACAACACUUUUUCGGCAUUUUCUAAAAUUAGGAAUACAAAAUAUUCAAACGAUGCGAACAAAUGUCACGACUCUUACGAUGACGUUACAAUAAACAAAAGCUAGUAACCUGACGGCCUGGAGUUCGAGACGGCAAUGGUAGUGCAUACUAGAGUUCCUAUAUUGGGAAUAAAGGAACUCUAGUGCAUACAGUAGAUGCGUUACUAAGGAAUGAAAAAUAAUUCAAGUGCCCACUUUUAUUGUCGGUUCUACCUAUUUUUUGUUUUCCUAGCAACGUGUUUUGUUCCCCUAGUCCUCCAGAGGAGGCCUUUUGUGAUUGGUUAUUUUCAAACGUUCUUAUCUCCCAAACGCAAAGAGUUACAAUUUUUUUGUAAAAGAACUUUGGUUUCAGAAUUGCCCAAACUAUAUGCACCUUUCCGGUGGGGACUGAGUUCUGAUACAGGCUGUAUAUUAUCCAUUUUUCAGCAACUAUUACUGGUUCGUGGGCCCAGUUUUUGCACGCAUGGCACUGAAUCCAAACUUCUCCUUUUUUGUUUUUUGAAUUAGGUUCAAGACAGUAUGGACAAACAUAAUCGUCUUCGUCAGAUGAAGAAGAGUAAACAUCGAGCUGCUUCUUCGUUUUUUCAAAAUUUCUGAAAUUUCUCUUAAUCGCCUUCGCUCUCUUGUUCCUCUCUUUCUCUUGCUUUUUGUUGUAUAACUCCAUUAAUUUAUUUUUGUGUGGAGACUGCUAUUUUUUCAUGUUUCCUACGUUUUCUCUUCAAAUCUUUGUUAAAAGUCGCCUUUAGUAAUGGACGUAUAACUUCGAGUAUUUCUUCCGCUGAGCUGUUAAAAUCUGAAUUGCAUUUGCUGGAUGUUGAAGGAAUUGUCAUAGCAAGUGGGAAAGCUUGGAAUACGAUACCGGGGAGAUCGUAAAUAGUCAUCCUCUGUCCAGCAUGGUUUUUCAUCCAGGCGUCCAUACAUGAGUUGAUGUAGGUUUUAAAUCUAAUGGUUGCAGUUUAUGAAAUGUAUGUGGCAGAAAUGAUAAAACUAUUAUUUCAUUGCUCUUGCAAAAGUCUAUAGUUGGAAUGUAUAGGUGAGAUUCAUGAUUGUCCAAAAUUAGAAGCACUUUGUUAUCAACUGUUGGUUUGGCAUAUUUGGCGAAAUGCUUAAUGAAUGUGAGAAAGGUCUCAUUUUGUAUCCAUCCUGUUCCAUUGGCGUCGCCUAUUGAGCCAGCAGGUGCGUCUCUGAAUUUUUUACGUGGAAAAAGGAACACUGGAGGUACUGCAUUGCCAAUUGCAUUUACUGCAUCACACACUGUAAUAAGCGUUUCUCAUUCAGCCGACGUAACUGAACCCACUUGCUUUCUUUCUUUAAGAGCCACUUGUUUACUUGGCUUUUGUACGGGUUUAACGAAAUUAUGUAAUUAAAAUUUAAAGAUUUCUAUUUUCGUACAAUACAACUAACUAACUUCGUGGGUAAAUGACUACUGCUGCAAAAAAACCGACCAACAACUCUAGAAAUGUAACAACUAAGUAUUCUCACGACUAACAACUUUAGAAAUUUAACAAUUAAGCAUUCCCACGCCUACACUAAUACCACUUUUCAGUAGCACCUCCCCCUUUAAGAUAUUUUGAUAUCAGGGAAGAUGUCAAAAUACGCAACCACGUAGCAUUCACACGAUCACAUGCAUUUAUUGGCCCUUGAAUACACUGAUGCACUAUUACUGGUUGGAGGCACUUGAAGUCUUAUUUCUUCUUCAUUGGAGUCGUCACAACCUGUCGAAUGAAGAGACGGGCGCCGGAUGACUGUUGAUCUUACGUUGCAAUAAUUGAAAACCUGAGGACAGCAUCCGCUGUGAGGACGGUGAUCAUCGUCAUUAUCCUCAGUGUUCAAACAAUUGCGAAUUUUCCUUUUGACGCCGCAUUUGCAAAGGAGCCAAAUUAUUAUGACAGAUAUUGAGAAGAUGAUAACAUAGGUGAUCGUUCUCGAGUGUCUGGAUGUGAUUGGUUCCCUGAUGCUGCGAUCAAGUUCUUCGUUAAAUUCUCGAAGUUUUUGAUCUGCAGUAUUCAACUCGUCAUGAUUCAAAUGAUUAAUUUGAAGAGGUUGAAGUUUGGGUAAUUCCUCUUUUUCGGGAAGUCGGGAACAGCAGUCAAAUUCAUUGUUUGGGAUUAGAAGUUCGGAUACAAUCGUAUCGUUGUCUUCUAUGAUGGCGUAAAGUUAAAAGACUGUUUUCUUCGAUUAUUUCGUUUUUCGAAUUUUUUCCUGGACAAAUGGUUGUUACUGUAGUCGGAUACGAGAUAGUUAGGAGCCACUUGUUACUGGCUAGUUUUUGGAUGUUAUAAUCACUAAUUGAUAUGAUUAUACCGUCACAGUGCUCUGAUAGGACUGAGUCCAUUAUGAGUGUUACUUCACAUCUGGUUUUGGACAACUUCGGUGCAAUCAUCCUUGUCCAGCGUAAUGUGUUGUUUGCUUUCUCUUGAUACAGCAACAUAUUUGUGGAGAGAGAUAAUUGUGUAAAAAAGAUUGGUUUUGGUAUUUUUAGUGGUAGCUGAGUAGGUAUGAUAAUAGUCGUACUCGGCGGAUUCAACAAUUGGAACGUGAAGGAUAAAAACGGUUUUAUUGAAUAUUUGAAAAGCUUCGAUUUUAAUCAAAGUCAAAUUUUUUUAUAAAUAAUUGUCAUUUGGAAUGAAAGGUAGAUUUCCAUGAGUUAAUUUUUGAGGUAUUUUUGUCAAUUGUUGUAAUAAUAGGCCAGGCUCGAUAAUUGAUGAAUUGAUGAAAGUUACACUAGUGAUAAGGUCGUUUAAUUCAUCCUGAAGGAUCAUAAGAGAUUCCAAGAUUUGAGCUACAAUUUGUAAUAAUUUAAGUUGAAAAUCAUGAAACUAGAUCUUUUGAGCUUUAAUUUAGAAACUGUUUCAUUGAAUGUUUUGUAUGAUACUGGAGAUAAUUUGAAUUUGGUUUUUCAUAAGGUUUUUAACUUCUAAUUCGCCCUUUUCAAGUUGUUCAAUGCAAUCGAUAUGAUACUGACCGUCAUCUUCAUCUAAACUGCCUGCAAUUAGUUUCAAAACAGACCCAAGUCCAUUAAUAAUUCCUCUUUGGUGUUAAUUUAAAUUCUUUAUUUUUUUUUCAAUUUUGGAGGAUAAGGCAUUAAGAAAAUCAGUUAGGAUUGGAUUGACACUCUGAAUUUCUUGUUUUGGUCGCCGUCCUCUAAAUAUAUAAUAUUUUUGUACACAAAAAUUUUCCAAUUAUCGUUUGUAAUUCGUGAAAUUCCUUCUCUUAGGAAGAACAGGCCUGAUGGGGUCUUGAAAGUGCAUUUUGACUCGAGUUUUGACUAAUUCCAGGAAAAUUGUUAGUAGUAUGCCUUAAGUUUUGUCGAUUAAAAUUAGCGUGUUCAUUUGAACGAGGUGGUACCUGAUUUCGUUUGAAACUAUUAUUUAUCAAAUGUCCUGUCUUUUUACAGUAGUUAUAAAAAUUUUGUGGAUUACUUGUUCUAGUUUGAUUUGAUCCAAAAUUUUGUUUAGGAAAAAUUCCUGAUGAAUUGUCUGGUUUAGUUGGAGGUUUUGAGAUUCUUAAAUUUGUUAGAUAAGCUUUAUUUUCUUCCUCCAUCAAAAAUUGUUCGGCUUCUUCUAGAGAUGCUGGGCGUUUUGAUCUAAUUAUUGAAUCAAGGGGAUCAUUAAGACUUUUAAAGCAAUUUUCUCGUGUGGUCUAUUUGAAACCUCUUUUUCGUUUUCUGCCAAAUCGGCUGUUAAAGCAAGAGAACUGCGAACACGUGUUAACAAGUUUUCGAUUCUUUAUACAAAACUUCUAGGAGUUUUAUUUUAUUUUUGAUAAGUUAAAUCUCGUAAUAAACUUUCGAUAUCUCAACAGUCUCCGUAAUGACAUAAGAGUGAUUCUUUCACCGCCUUCCAAUUUUUAAGAUUUCGAGAAGAAAUGAAUUUUUUGCGUUCUGUUAAUUUACUUUUAACUAGGUAAAUAAAAAGAUUUUCUUGAUGCUGUUCUAAGGCAAAGUUGCAUGCACUGCGAUGAUUUUUCUUUUCGCGAUUAAAUGCCACGCACAAUUUUUGGAACAAUGUUAGAUUAUAACUUUGUGUUAGCCGUCCGCACAUUUGUGUAGACUGUAAUGUGAUGGGAGUUCUUCCCUAACUAAGAGCCACACUAAUUUGUCUAGGUCUAAUUUAUUCGAUGUUAGAAUACAUAAUGCCAAAAUCUGGCGUCGAACUUGGUGAUAAGCACAAAUAGUAAGGAAUACAAUCACUGUCGAUCUUAUGACUAAAUUGGGUAUUUAAUACCUCGAUUGCACUACCGUCAGCAAUUAAGGUGCAGUGGCCGGUCAAGACAUUGCACCUGAUGUGUCGAAAUUACUAUUACUAUCUCUACCAAUUUACUCUAUCACACACCAGUGAAUUGGUUUUUAAACUAAAAUUCCUUUACAAAAAUUUCUAACUACGUUUGGAGGAUAGUUAUCGUUAGACUUAUUUGCGGAAGAGUACGAGAACAAAACACGUUACCAUACCAAAACAAUAAGUAUAAAGUUAUUUGACCUAACUUUUUGAAAAUAUUUUGUCAGGCAAUUUUUAUGAGAUCCGUAAAACUUGAAUGUUUUGUUCGAAUUUUCUGUUAAAUUUAUCGUACUUGAAAUGUCCGUUUUAUUUGACUUUGGUGGUUUUGUUCUACAGACAUCAAAUUAAACUAAAACUUUCACUCGAGCUUUCACUCAAAAAAAAGUCAUAUUUACGGCAAAAAUUACUGGCGCUCCAACUCAGGGGUACGUUAUUGAGAAGCAAGUGCAGAUUACGGGAGAAAAAUUACUAAAGUCAUUUUUUAAAAAAUUGGAGCUACAAACUUAUUGUGCUAACUUCUUUAGUUUUCAUUAGCUUUUAAUGUUAAUAUGUUUCACACUAGGUAAUCGUUCCCUAACAAAACGAUGAAUAAUUAUUUUUAAAUUUUCUAUCAGACUUUAGCCGUUUUUUUAAUUGAAAAAAAAUAAAUUCAUCAAAAAAAUCACAAUGUGUAGAUGUGCCAACACUGGGAAUUAUUUCCUAGGAAACCGUUUCAAAAAUAAUUUAUUUUUAUUAUUGAUCAAAUUCUAUUGUGAUCAUGACUGUUAGACAACGUUGCCACAUAUUAUUUAUCUAAAAUCCGUCAUUUAUCAAUAACUUUAAUACAAAGAAUUUUUUUACUAUUUUUAGCUUUAUAUGUGACCAGUUCUCUACCACACACCACAGAGUUGGUGCGCUAGUUUUUGAGCACGCUGUAUAUUAAGUAGAAAAUUACCAGGAUAUUGAUUUAAUUAUUAAGUAAUAUAUGGACUAUAUGAAGAGACAUGUCGGUUGUUUAUCGAAAAUGUGUAAUGUUUUAGGCGAAUUAUUGCAAUUAUAUAGUUUGUAAUGUUGAUUCAUUUAAUAAGUUUAUGUUAAAAUAUCUGCAAAAGACGGUCAGUGCCUGGGGCCUUGGUGGCCUAGUGGUAUAAGCGCCACUUACGACAGGGGACGUCGGGGUUCGAACGUAAAGCAAAGCAUAAAAGUGACAGAAAUAUGAAAAUAAUGCGGCAAAAGGUAAAAGUACGUAAAGGUGCCAAAUUGUAAACGUAAGAGCACGUCCUAAAUAAAGGGAAAAUACUUUUUGUCUUGAAAGAAAAAGAGAUGAACAGCCAAAAAGUAAAUAACAGAAAAAUGAAUAAACAAAUCAAUAAACAAACCAAAUAAAACUAAAACUAAAAAACUAAAAAAGGUUUAACAGCUAAUUGCACACCUUUUAAAGUAAUUUGUAGUUUGAUUGACUGAAAGUAAAAGCCUUUCACCCAACGUUUACGUAAACACCCCUUUCAGUUCAAAGAUGAAUUCAAACACAGUUGGGGCGAUUUUUUCAGUCGGAAAAUGCUUUCUGCUUUCACCGAAAUCGCCAAGUGAGAAAAAACCGUCUCUUCUUAAACACAUUUUCGCAUUUAUUCUCAUAAUUCUGUACACAAUUGCCGCACUUGCGCACCUCCUUUAUAAUCUCCCGGACUACCGUAGUCUUAGUUUAAUGCAAAUGACUUUUCUGGUGAUGACCGACGUGGCUUUGUAUUGUUCGGCGAUUUAUUUCCCUCUCAUGACGAAUAAAAUAACGCUGGGUUGGUACCACUUAAUUCGUAAUUUGUCGCAAGUUUGUGGCACUGGUGCUAACCGUUCAUACUCUUUCGCUGGCUUUUUUACAGUUUCGUAUUUUGUAACGGUUUCUCUUUACGUUAUUUUGGGACGGAAGGAAGGAGUUAGCUUUUUUUAUUAUUUUCCGUACCGGAUUUUGGCGGCGAAUUCGAUGAAUUUUGGGAUGGUUACGGGCGUUACAGUGUUACAAAUGCUACACCAGUGUUACCACGUUCAGAAAAACAUUGUCCAAAGACGGAUUUUGACAAAAGUUAAAUCGGAAGAAAUCUACAGUUUGUUGGAACCUUUCGAACGCGGUCUUUUCACACUUAGUGAUGCGGUUUCCCACUUUAAUGAUAUUUUCGGAUGGAAUAUUUUAUUUAGUCACAUUAUUGGCGUUUGUAGAACUCUUAUCUACAUUGAUGAGUUGGUUCGAACUCAAACAAAUUUUCAGUUUUCUCUAGAAACGGGCGCAAUACUUGGAAGUUUACUGAUUUUUUGGAUUUUGGCUCUGUAUCUGAUUGUACUUUGCGACAACGUUUUGAAAGAAUUUGGAUGAUAUUUUGGAUGUUUUAUUGAAAAUUAAGUUUAACUUGAUGAAAAUGGGAAAGUUACAAGAAGCUUUCUUGGACGAAAUUGAACAAAUUCGACCUACGUUUUCAGCUGCGAGGUUUUAUAGUAUUAGUAGACCAACGAUUUUCAGUCUUUCGAAUCCUGCAACCACAUUUUUGAUUGUUUUGUUGCAAUUUCACAUUAACUAGUUAUAAUUAAUGUACUUAAUGUGUCCAACACCAAGCAGUAAAUAUUUUAUUUCAACCAUUAAUCAUUGUCUUAAAACUUUCACGCAACUUUGCUGUUUGUAGAUUGUAACUGUGGUUUUAAUAAAAUAAAAACUCGAACAUU